UACGUAGGGUGCAAGCGUUGUCCGGAAUUAUUGGGCGUAAAGAGCUCGUAGGCGGUCUGUCGCGUCGGCUGUGAAAACCCGGGGCUCAACCCCGGGCCUGCAGUCGAUACGGGCAGACUAGAGUGUGGUAGGGGAGACUGGAAUUCCUGGUGUAGCGGUGAAAUGCGCAGAUAUCAGGAGGAACACCGGUGGCGAAGGCGGGUCUCUGGGCAGUAACUGACGCUGAGGAGCGAAAGCGUGGGGAGCGAACAGG
rnacentral:rRNA from 1 species